AGUGAACGCUGGCGGUGGGCCUAACACAUGCAAGUCGAACGGCAGCACAGUAAGAGCUUGCUCUUACGGGUGGCGAGUGGCGGACGGGUGAGGAAUACAUCGGAAUCUACUUUUUCGUGGGGGAUAACGUAGGGAAACUUACGCUAAUACCUCAUACGACCUACGGGUGAAAGCAGGGGAUCUUCUGACCUUGCGCGAUUGAAUGAGCCGAUGUCGGAUUAGCUAGUUGGCGGGGUAAAGGCCCACCAAGGCGACGAUCCGUAGCUGGUCUGAGAGGAUGAUCAGCCACACUGGAACUGAGACACGGUCCAGACUCCUACGGGAGGCAGCAGUGGGGAAUAUUGGACAAUGGGCGCAAGCCUGAUCCAGCAAUACCGCGUGGGUGAAGAAGGCCUUCGGGUUGUAAAGCGCUUUUGUUGGGAAAGAAAAGCAGCAGGUUAAUACCCCGCUGUUCUGACGGUACCCAAAGAAUAAGCACCGGCUAACUUCGUG
rnacentral:rRNA from 1 species